rnacentral:rRNA from 1 species
AAAGCGUGCGCAGGCGGUUAUAUAAGACAGAUGUGAAAUCCCCGGGCUCAACCUGGGAACUGCAUUUGUGACUGUAUAGCUAGAGUACGGCAGAGGGGGAUGGAAUUCCGCGUGUAGCAGUGAAAUGCGUAGAUAUGCGGAGGAACACCGAUGGCGAAGGCAAUCCCCUGGGCCUGUACUGACGCUCAUGCACGAAAGCGUGGGGAGCAAACAGGAUUAGAUACCCGAGU